rnacentral:sRNA from 1 species
CAGGAGAAAAUCGCCGGAUCCUCACCCGCAC